rnacentral:rRNA from 1 species
AUGAUACUGAACCUCAUGCCCUAUCGAGCAUCUUAUCCCAUCUUAAAGUUGGUUUAUUCGGCAGCCGCAAAUGCUACUCAUUAUAGGGAUUUCGACAAAGCGAAUUUAUUUAUUACUAAAGCCGAAGUCAGUAGGAGUACUAUUAUGAAGAAAUUCAGACCUCGAGCUCAAGGACGUAGUUUCCCAAUAAAAAAAGCAUGUUUCAUAUAA